GUAAGUUUCCUGAGGACUCCCCAGCCAUGUGGAACUGCCAAAUGGAAAUGGAGCCUUUUAUGAAGUUUCCCUCUUUUUAAGCUGGAAAGUUGGCAGCGACGUGGUUUCGAAGCUACCUCGGAAGCAAAUGUUUCCCAGCACUGUCCCCUUCUAGAAAGACCUUGUAUGAGAACCUUAUCUUUGCACGGAGUGUGGAGACCGCUGUUAGGGCAGACGGGAUGGAUUUGACCAACACCCAGGUCACAAACCAGUGAUGACGGAGAGACGAAUUCCGUGAGUUAGCCAGGGCACGGUGGGACAGAGGGAGCCUGGCUCCUUACUUACAACAGCUUCUUGGAGCAAGGAAUCUUGGACAAAAAAAAUAAAAGCACUAGGUCGGUUCAAGGCUAUUUGUUCGACUCUGCAUCUAACUCUGUUCUGGGUUCCAGAGACACCAACGUACACAAGAUUCACUCCUUAUGUCCCAGGAGCCCAUGGUCUACCUAGGAAGGCCGAGAGGGGAAGGAAGACCUCUUCUGGGAGGUCUUCUGUUCUGGGAGGCUGAAUCACUGAGCUGUGGGCAGGCACCUGAGGAGAGCAAAGCCAGGGCAGACCCCAGGGAGGGGAACUGAGCUGAGCCUGGCAAGACGAACCCCAGCUUGCCCUCCUCCAUGGAGAGUGGUGAGGAGGCCCACAAAGGGCCUAGAAAUGUUCAUCAUGGAGCUUGGGAGAGAAGGAGAGAGGGGCCACUCAAACUGUGUAUGCCGGUAUCGCCAUUAUAAUUGCCUACACUUUACAAAAAGGCAAAACUGUACAAAACUGUCACUUUCUGAAAAGGAGACAGAAUUCAGAGGUGGGGAUUCCACCCAAGUACGGUCAGGCUCAGCUGCUGGUGGGAAGCCUCUCCAAAAUGAGUUUAAGGCCACAGGCCUUGGAUGCUGGGCAGAGAGCAGAGACUGCUGGGCACCCCGGUGCCACAGGAUACAGGAAGAUUCUCCCCCGACAGCCCCUUCCACGAACACCCUGGCACCUGCCCUGCAUGGUCCUGCUUCUGGGAACUUUUUUUUUAUUUUUGAGAUGGAGUCCCACUCUUGUCGCCCAGGCAGUGGCACUGUCUCGGCUCACUGCAACCUCUGCCUCCUGGGUUCAAGCAUUUCUCCUGCCUCAGCCUCCCAAGUAGCUGGGAUUAGAGGUGCCCCCCAUCACACUCAUGUGUCUCUGUGUUGUCAUUUAACAUCAGUGCAAGGCCUCUGAUCAGCUAUAUUGAAAUAAUAUAUUACAUAUAAUAAUAUUGAAAUAGUUAUCAUGGGAAUAUAGAAAAUCACUUGUCUUCUUAAUCAAAGGUUUAAAGUGCUUUUGGAAUUAUUUUGAUAAGUGUUCUUUUCACCGGUUUCAGAGUCU